rnacentral:rRNA from 1 species
GUGGGGAAUUUUGGACAAUGGGCGCAAGCCUGAUCCAGCAAUGCCGCGUGUGUGAAGAAGGCCUUCGGGUUGUAAAGCACUUUUGUCCGGAAAGAAAUCUCCUGGGUUAAUACCUCGGGGGGAUGACGGUACCGGAAGAAUAAGCACCGGCUAACUACGUGCCAGCAGCCGCGGUAAUACGUAGGGUGCGAGCGUUAAUCGGAAUUACUGGGCGUAAAGCGUGCGCAGGCGGCUAUGCAAGACAGAUGUGAAAUCCCCGGGCUCAACCUGGGAACUGCAUUUGUGACUGCAUGGCUAGAGUGCGUCAGAGGGAGGUGGAAUUCCGCGUGUAGCAGUGAAAUGCGUAGAGAUGCGGAGGAACACCGAUGGCGAAGGCAGCCUCCUGGGAUGACACUGACGCUCAUGCACGAAAGCGUGGGGAGCAAACAGGAUUAGAAACCCUUGUAGUCC